AUAUUUACUUGGCAGGGGUGAUAACAUGGUCGUGAGACUGGUUUUCUUUGGCCCUCUGGAUGUGCCCUAUGUGAUUUCCCCAAAUGUGGGAAACUUCACUGCAUGAUUUAUGGUAGUGGGGAUUUCAUUCACA
rnacentral:snRNA from 1 species